CCUACGGGUGGCAGCAGUGGGGGAUAUUGCACAAUGGGGGCAACCCUGAUGCAGCGACGCCGCGUGGGUGAAGAAGCGCCUCGGCGCGUAAAGCCCUGUCAGCAGGGAAGUAAAUGACGGUACCUGAAGCAGAAGCCCCGGCUAACUACGUGCCAGCAGCCGCGGUAAUACGUAGGUGGCAAGCGUUGUCCGGAUUUACUGGGUGUAAAGGGCGUGCAGCCGGGAUGACAAGUCAGUUGUGAAAUCCCGCGGCUCAACCGCGGAACUGCAUUUGAAACUGUUUUUCUUGAGUACCGGAGAGGUCAUCGGAAUUCCUGGUGUAGCGGUGAAAUUCGUAGAUAUAAGGAAGAACACCAGUGGCGAAGGCGGAUGACUGGACGGCAACUGACGGUGAGGCGCGAAAGCGUGGGGAGCAAACAGGAUUAGAUACCCGAGUAGUC
rnacentral:rRNA from 1 species